GGGAUCCGAUUUAGCCAUGCUAGUCGUACGAGUUCAGACUCGUGGCGAAUAGCUCAGUAACACGUGGCCAAAACUACCCUUCGGACCGCAAUACCCUCGGGAAACUGAGGCUAAUAGCGGACACCACACGCAGACUGGAAUGUCGCGUGUGUCAAACGCUCCGGCGCCGAAGGAUGUGGCUGCGGCCGAUUAGGUAGACGGUGGGGUAACGGCCCACCGUGCCAAUAAUCGGUACGGGUCAUGAGAGUGAGAACCCGGAGACGGAAUCUGAGACAAGAUUCCGGGCCCUACGGGGCGCAGCAGGCGCGAAACCUUUACACUGCACGCCAGUGCGAUAAGGGGAUCCCAAGUGCGUAGGCAUAGAGCCUACGCUUUUGUCCACCCUAGGGUGGUGGACGAAUAAGGGCUGGGCAAGACCGGUGCCAGCCGCCGCGGUAAUACCGGCAGCCCGAGUGAUGGCCGAUNUUAUUGGGCCUAAAGCGUCCGUAGCUGGCCGCACAAGUCCAUCGGGAAAUCCACCUGCUCAACAGGUGGGCGUCCGGUGGAAACUGUGUGGCUUGGGACCGGAAGGCGCGACGGGUACGUCCGGGGUAGGAGUGAAAUCCUGUAAUCCUGGACGGACCGCCGAUGGCGAAAGCACGUCGCGAAGACGGAUCCGACAGUGAGGGACGAAAGCUAGGGUCUCGAACCGGAUUAGAUACCCGGGUAGUCCUAGCCGUAAACACUGCCUGCUAGGUGUGGCACCCACUACGAGUGGGUGCUGUGCCGUAGGGAAGCCGCUAAGCAGGCCGCCUGGGAAGUACGUCCGCAAGGAUNAAACUUAAAGGAAUUGGCGGGAG
rnacentral:rRNA from 1 species